GACGAACGCUGGCGGCGUGCCUAAUACAUGCAAGUCGAGCGAAGCGGCGGAUGGGUGAGUAACGCGUGGGUAACCUGCCCUUAAGUCUGGGAUACCAUUUGGAAACAGAUGCUAAUACCGGAUACUACAGGAUGGACCUGCGAUGCAUUAGCUCGUUGGGAAGGUAAAGGCUUACCAAGGCGAUGAUGCAUAGCCGAGUUGAGAGACUGAUCGGCAACAUUGGGACUGAGACACGGCCCAAACUCCUACGGUAGGCAGAAGUAGGGAAUCUGCCACAAUGGACGAAAGGCUGAGGGAGCAACGCCGCGUGAGUGAAGAAGGUGUGCGGAGCGUAAAGCUCUGUUGUUGGUGAAGCGGUAAUCAACCAGAAAGUCACGGCUAACUACGUGCCAGCCGCCGCGGUAAUAC
rnacentral:rRNA from 1 species